GAAGUGCGAUAAGCAAUGCGAAUUGCAGAAUUCCGCGAAUCAUCAGAUCUUUGAACGCAAAUGGCGCCAGAGGGAUAUCCUUUUGGCAUGUCUGUUUCAGUGUCUGAGAGGUUUCACCACUAUCUUAAUGUGAUUGAUGGAUUUUUGAGGUAGGCUUCAAACCCCUCCUCUUAGAAAACAUCUCUCAUGAAAGAUGUUCGAGUGGAUCUUUCGGUCCAAUGAAGUGGUCACAUCACUCGCAUGUGAUUUCAUUGGGAUCACCGAAUUAUCCGCAUGCUCGAAGUACACUCUCUCUUGUGUAGUAGUAGUAGCAAUACUACUAUUACCAAGACACUCCACACCCUGCAUCUGAGACAGGCAAGAUCACCCGCUGAACUUAA
rnacentral:misc_RNA from 1 species